rnacentral:rRNA from 1 species
AACGAACGCUGGCGGCGGGCUUAAGACAUGCAAGUCGUGCGAGAAAGUCUCCUUCGGGAGGCGAGUAGAGCGGCGCACGGGUGAGUAACGCGUGGGUAAUCUGCCUUUGGGUCUGGGAUAACCUCGGGAAACUGGGGCUAAUACCGGAUGAGACCACGAGGUCCUCGGGCCUCGCGGGAAAAGCUGGCCUCUCCAUGGAAGCUAGUGCCUGAAGAUGAGCCCGCGUCCCAUUAGCUAGUUGGUGGGGUAACGGCCUACCAAGGCUACGAUGGGUAGCUGGUCUGAGAGGAUGAUCAGCCACACUGGGACUGAGACACGGCCCAGACUCCUACGGGUGGCUG